ensembl:lincRNA
AUUAAACUCCUCAGCCUGAGAAUUCGUCUCAGGUCACCUAUACGACAUUCAAAUCACGGAGGACCGGCAGAAAGAAAGAAAAUCUUACCAACAAGACAGUUACCAGCAGCACCUUCCCAGAGGCCAGACUGGCAGCCUAGUGGCAGCAUUGCUUCUGGCAGCAGCACUUCUGCUGGCAGCAGCAUUUCUGCUGGCAACAGCCCUUCCCACACGAGUGGCAGCUGCAGGUGCGGCGGUGGCAGCAGACCACGGGGACGCUGCAGCAGCCCCCACAGCAGCCGCAGCAGCAGGGGCAGCAGCUGCUGCAACAGCCCACCCGGUAGCACCUGCAGCUGUUGCAACUGCCACAGCUGCCACCGCAGCCACCACCGCAGCCACCACCCCAGCCGCUACUGCAGCCACCACUGCAGCCACCACUGCAGCCACCACAACUUCCACAACCACAGCAGCCCAUGGUGUCGGUAGAGGGGACUCUGAGUAGAGGGGAGAGGUGAGGAGGGGGACUCAGGAGGUAAAGAAGGUCUGAUGCCUGCCUCCACCAAGGGCCCCUUAAAUACCAUCUCUGGGGAGAGAAGUGACCUAAGCCUCGAGGUCACUUCCCUGUUGUUGAUGCAGAUACCCACAGUGGAAUCUCCCAUGGCCUUGUGCACUUCCUUAGUGGAUCCUUCUCACUUAAAAAACUUGCUAAAUUUAGCUUUCGCUUAUCUUUUUAAAGCCAUCUUUAAAAAUAGAACAGGAAACAACUAUUAACCCCAUUUUCUCUUUCAGAUCAGUUCAGUUCAGUUCAGUCGCUCAGUUGUGUCCGACUCUUUGCGAGCCCAUGAAUCGCAGCACGCCAGGCCUCCCUGUCCAUCACCAACUCCCGGGGUUCACUCAGACUCGCGUCCCUCGAGUCAGUGAUGCCAUCCAGCCAUCUCAUCCUCUGUCGUCCCCUUCUCCUGCCCCCAAUCCCGGAGUUGUAAAGGUCUGAACGGACCAGAAUUCUCUUGGCUGCUUUUACAUCUCUCAGCCCUGUCAGCCCAGGACAGAGAUUGUUCAUUCCCGAUUACCAGGUUGGGAAAACAUUGUUUUAGGGGAACAUUUUGAACUUGAAAGGGAAAUGGGAUCCCCGGUCACAUAUUUCAUCCUGGGAUGAUUCUUCAUCCUCUAACGCAGAUUAGGACUCUGAUUCAGAAGAGAAUGGUCCUGUGUUAUCAGGGGUUACUCCAGGGCAUGCUUUCAGUUGUGUCAGAUGAUAGAAGCACAUCCUAAGAACAUUCCCAAGUCACCUGCCAAAUUUAAGGACACUUCUGCUAUCAUCAGCCUGUUCAAAGAGGACAAGCAGCAACAGAGACGCAGACACAGAACAGACUUGCGGACGGAGCGGGAGAGGGUUGGACAGGUUGAGAGAGUAGCAUUGAAACAUAUGCUUUACCAUGUUUGGAACAGAUAGCCAGUGGGAAUUUGCUGCAUGGUGCAGGGGUCUCAACCCAGUACUCUGUGACAGGCUGGAGGGCAGGGAGGUUCAAAAUGGAGGGGACAUGCUUCAGCCCAGUUGAUAAAGAAUCCACCUGCAAUGCAGGAGACCCCAGUUCAAUCCCUGGGUUGGGAAGAUCCCUGGAGAUGGCAUGGCAACCCACUUCAGUAUUCUUGCCUGGAGAAUCCCAUGGACAGAGGAGCCUGGUCCAUGGCAAAGAGCCAGACACGACUGACUGAGUAACACACAUGGCUGAUACAUGUUGAUGCAUGACAGAAGCUAAUACAACAAUCCUUCAAUUUAAUUUAAUUUACAUGUUGAUGCAUGACAGAAGCUAAUACAACAUGGUGAAGCAAUUAUCCUUCAAUUAAAAAUAAAUAAAUAAAUGAAAGAAGGACAAAUCCAAAAGCAGAUUUCUGACAUCUCUGUGCUGCUGGGGUGGUCAGAGACCAUCCACGUGGAAUCCUUACUUGAAAUCAUUGCUUUCACAUGGCUGUCACUGCACAGACCACUCUUUCCUGUUAGAGGCAGUCACUGGGGUCUGCAGAUCAGGUUCUAUUAGCCAUUCUCAGCAGAUUAAAACACUCCUAUGGGUCACCCUCAGAGAACUCUGCAGUCACGAAGGAAAAUACUUUUUGCAGCAAAUGAAACUUGAACCCAUGGGCUCUUCAGCUGCCUUCACAUACACCUAGAAGACUAAAAAGUUUCCUUAUCCAGUGACUGUACCUUUCUGACUCCAAAGAACAUGUAGCUACUUCUGUAGCGUUGGGGUUCAAUCAGUUACUUGUGUAUUGGUAUCAGAGUUUACUACAAGAUGGCAGAAUAGAUGGACGCGUGCUCAUUUCCUCCUGUGAAAAUUCCAAAAUUACAACUCACCUGCCACAGGGGCAGAGGCUCUGGGUGCAGAAGACCUGGGUAUGGCAUAAGCCCUCUUGGAGGAGGUCGCCAUUAACCCCACCACAGAGCUGCCAGAACUCACACAGGACUGGGGAAACAGACUCUUGGAGGGCACAAACAAAACCUUGUGUGUACCAGGACCCAGGAGAAAGGAGCAGUGACCCCGCAAGAGACUGACCCAGACUUGCCCCUGAGUGCCCAGGAGCCUCUGGCGGAGGCGGGGGCCAGCGGCGGCCUGCUGCAGGGUUGGCGGCACUGAGUGCAGCACUCUGUGCACAGGACCUUCCGGAGGAGGUCGCCAGUAUCUUCAUUACCUCCAGCAUAGUUUGGCCUCAGGUCAAACAGCUGGGAGGGAACACAGCCCCGCCCAUCAACAAAAAAGUUGGAUUGAAGAUUUACCGAGCAUGGCCCUGCCCCACCACUGCUGACCGUACCUCUGCAGGAGACACUCAAACACAGUUCCAACUCAGUCUCUGUGGGGUCUCUGGGUCCUAGCGCCCACAAGGUUUGUUUGAGCCAUCUAAGCAUCUCUGCCAGAUAUGGGGUUUGAUUCUAAAGGUGAUUUCGCCCCUCCUACCAUCUUGCUGGGGUUUCUCCUUUCCCCUUGGAUAUGAGGUAUCUUUUUUUGGUGGGAUCCAACAUUCUCCUGUUGAUGGUUGUUCAGCUGCAAGAUGUAAUUUUGGAGUUCUCACAAGAGGAGAUGAGUACUCUACCAUCUUGUAGUAAACUCUGAUACUACAAGACCCAGACGCAGACUACAAGAACAAGACCUAGUUUCCCCCUCAGUCUCUCCUAUCAGAAAGCUUCCAUAAGCCUCUCAUCCUUAUCCAUCAGAGGGCAGACAGAAUGAAAACUGCAAUAACAGAAAACUAACCAAACUGAUCACAGGGACCACAGCCUUGUCUAACUCAAUAAAACUAUGAGCCAUGCCAUGUAGGUCCACCCAAAAUGGACGGGUCAUGGUGGAGAGUUCUGAUGAAACAUGGUCCACUGGAGAAGGGAAUGGCAAACCACUUCAGUAUUCUUGCCAUGAAUAGUACCUGCUUCAGCAAAGCGCAGCCACUGCUCCUUACCUUGGAAGUGGGGUAGCUCCUCUCAGCCGCUGCCCCUGAUGUUGGACGUGAAGUAGCUUCUGUAGGCCACUUCUGCACCGUCGCAGCUGCUGAUCCACAGCAACCAGUUGUGAUGGGACUGGUGAUGGAAGCAAGUUCCGAUGCUGUAAAGAGCAUAGGAAACUGGAAUGUUAGGUCCACGAAUCCAGGUGAAUUGGAAGUGGUCAAACAGGAGAUGGCAAGAGUGAAU